CGUUUGUGUGUUAUCCCUAUAUCGAUCCCUGUUUAUGGAUACGGAAUCUUACUUUCCCUCGAGUUCCUGGCGACGGCUGUAUCCCUUCUGUGACCUCAUUGAUGGAGUAGCCUUUUGUGAUCUGGCCACGAACAGGUGCACAUGCGCAGAAACACAUACAGCAUCCAGUAAAGCAUGUGUCUCUAAACGUUGUACAGCCCAAGACGCUUCAAAUUGUUAUCGAAUACGGUUAACAGAAUGCGGAGCAAAUAAUGUAUGCAACUGUACAAAUAACGCUGAUAUGAAUGUCAC